rnacentral:RNase_P_RNA from 1 species
CGAGUCGGCCGGGCGGUCGCGUCGGCGGGGGAGACCCCGUCGCCGAGGAACGUCCGGGCUCCACAGGGCAGGGUGGUCGUUAACAGCGACCCGGGGUGACCCGCGGGACAGUGCCACAGAGAACAGACCGCCAGUGCUCGCACUGGUAAGGGUGAAACGGCGGUGUAAGAGACCACCGCACACCGGGUGACCGGUGUGGCUCGGUAAACCCCACCCGGAGCAAGGUCAAGAAAGGACGGCGGUUCGCCGCCGUCCCGCGCAGGCGUUCGAGGGCGGCCCGCCCGAUGCCUGCGGGUAGACCGCUGGAGCCUGCCGGCAACGGCAGGCCUAGAUGGAUGACCGCCCAUCGGGACGCCGCGAGGCGCCCGUGGACAGAACCCGGCGUACAGGCCGACUCGUCCG